AGAGUUUGAUCCUGGCUCAGAUUGAACGCUAGCGGGAUGCUUUACACAUGCAAGUCGAACGGCAGCGCGAGAGAGCUUGCUCUCUUGGCGGCGAGUGGCGGACGGGUGAGUAAUAUAUCGGAACGUGCCCAGUAGCGGGGGAUAACUACUCGAAAGAGUGGCUAAUACCGCAUACGCCCUACGGGGGAAAGGGGGGGAUCGCAAGACCUCUCACUAUUGGAGCGGCCGAUAUCGGAUUAGCUAGUUGGUGGGGUAAAGGCUCACCAAGGCAACGAUCCGUAGCUGGUUUGAGAGGACGACCAGCCACACUGGGACUGAGACACGGCCCAGACUCCUACGGGRGGCAGCAGUGGGGAAUUUUGGACAAUGGGGGAAACCCUGAUCCAGCCAUCCCGCGUGUAUGAUGAAGGCCUUCGGGUUGUAAAGUACUUCUGGCAGAGAAGAAAAGGUAUCCCCUAAUACGGGAUACUGCUGACGGUAUCUGCAGAAWAAGCACCGGCUAACUACGUGCCAGCAGCCGCGGUAAUMYRGKUCG
rnacentral:rRNA from 1 species